AAGCCAUGAUGAGGACACUCACGAAGAAGGUCUUUAAAUAGUUUAUGGGCUUCAAAGAGUGUCUCCGUAUCACCUUGCCUGAAAGACGAUAUCUCAUGUCUCAGUCU